rnacentral:lncRNA from 1 species
CUAAAAGCUAAAAGCUAAAAGCUAAAAGAUAAAAGAUAAAAGCUAAAAGAUAAAAGCUAAAAGAUAAAAGAUAAAAGCUAAAAGAUAAAAGCUAAAAGAUAAAAGCUAAAAGAUUAAAAACUAAAACCUAAAAACUAAAACCUAAAAACUAAAAACUAAAAGCUAAAAGCUAAAAGUUAAAAACUAAAAGAUAAAAACUAAAAGCAAGGCUUUCCCAAAAUUUGAAAUAAAACGUCAACUUUAACACUUCUUUCAUUUGUCUCAUUGUUCCUAUUAUUUUAUAUUAUGUCUAAAAUAAUGCCUGAUUUUCAAAAUUCAAAAAAAAAAUAAAAUAAAAUAAUUAAAUAAAUAACAAAAAAGAGAAAGUAGUAUUACAUAGAUAUUAGUAACUUUUUUUUUAACAUGUUAUUUGGAAACUUAAACUUUUAAACUCAUCUUUAAGGCUUUUUUAUCAUCAUCAUCAUCUUUUUAUUUUAUUUUUUUUUUUUUUUUAAUUAACAAUUGCCAUAAAUUUGUGUAUAAUUAAAAAAUUAAUGUUUGAAAUUUUAUUAAGGCUUUAUUUAGGCUUUUAUUUAGACUUUUUUUAUUUGCUCAUAUAAAGGAAUAAACUUAAUAGAUUUAAUUUUUUGAAAAAAAAUAUAGAAGUUUUUAAUGUUCUAAAUAUUAAUCUAACGUUUUAUAACAUUUAUGAUGUUAAUGAAAGCAUGUAGAAAGUAUAUUUGUUGUAUCUUCCGUUUAUAUCAUUUUUGCAUAAUUUAAUUAAAACGGUUAGAAGUUAAGAUUAUAUAUUUGUGUAUAUAUAUAUGUACGUGCAAAAACAAAAUGGAGUAUGAAGGAGAAACGUUUCAAUUAACGACCUACCAAAUAAAGAAAACAGUGAAAGCUUUUAAAUAUUUGGAUAAAAAAAAAAAGGGAUUACUAAAAUUUGAUUUAUUAGGAAGUUUAUUACGAUGCAGUGGAUAUAAUGUAUCGUUAAGAGAAAUACAAAAUAUCAAAGAAAAAAUUAUAGAAAAUAAGAUAAAAAGAAAAAAUAAAGAAAUCAUAGAAAAAAGAGAAAACGAAAUAACACAAGAUGAAGAAACGAAUAAGCUAGAUAAAGACAACUUAAAUAGUAGUAAUAAAAAAAAUAAUGGUGAUGAUGAUUAUGAUGAUAAUAUGUCGGAAUUAUUAGACAAUUUUAAGAAUUAUGAUAAUUUUAUAGAGUUAGAAAAAAAAAAAAAAGAAAUGGAAAAAAAAAGAGAAGAAGAUAAAAAUCGAUUUAGUAUAAAAGAAUUUUUUCAAAUUAUACAAAUACCAAAUAUAACAAAUGAAACAAAACCUGCAAAUGUUUUAAAUUCUUUUGAAUUAUUUGAUGAAGAAGGAAAUGGAAAAAUAUCAAUAAAAAAGUUAAGAUUUAUUCUUCAAUAUUUAGGAGAACCUUUAAGCAAUAAAGAAUUUGAUGAGUUUUUUGAAUGGAUGAAAACGAAAGGAAAAGCCUACAAAAAUGAUCAUAUAAUAUAUGAAGAGUUACUAAACGAACUAACAAACAAAGAUGUUAACAUGUGAUGCUAGUAUU